GAUGAAGAACGUAGCGAAAUGCGAUACGUAGUGUGAAUUGCAGAAUUCAGUGAAUCAUCGAAUCUUUGAACACACAUUGCACCUCUCGGUAUUCCGGGAGGUAUGCCUGUUCGAGCGUCAUUUGUACCCUCAAGCUCUGCUUGGUGUUGGGUGUUUGUUCCGCCUCUGUGUGUGAACUCGCCUCAAAACAAUUGGCAGCCGGCGUACUUGUUUCGGAGCGCAGCACAUUUUGCGAUCCAGAUCAACGUACAGCGGCAUCCAAGAAGCCUUAUUUAACGCUCUUGACCUCGGAUCAGGUAGGGAUACCCGCUGAACUUAAGCAUAUCAAUAAGCGGAGGA
rnacentral:misc_RNA from 1 species